rnacentral:rRNA from 1 species
AGAGCGAACGCUGGCGGCAGGCCUAACACAUGCAAGUCGAGCGCCCCGCAAGGGGAGCGGCAGACGGGAGAGUAACACGUGGGAACGUACCCUUUGGUUCGGAACAACACAGGGAAACUUGUGCUAAUACCGGAUAAGCCCUUACGGGGAAAGAUUUAUUGCCAAAGGAUCGGCCCGCGUCUGAUUAGCUUGUUGGUGAGGUAACGGCUCACCAAGGCUACGAUCAGUAGCUGGUCUGAGAGGAUGAUCAGCCUCACUGGGACUGAGACACGGCCCAGACUCCUACGGGAGGCAGCAGUGGGGAAUAUUGGACAAUGGGCGCAAGCCUGAUCCAGCCAUGCCGCGUGGAUGAUGAAGGCCCUAGGGUUGUAAAGUCCUUUCGACGGGGAAGAUAAUGACGGUACCCGUAGAAGAAGCCCCGGCUAACUUCGUGCCAGCAGCCGC